UACGUAGGGUGCGAGCGUUGUCCGGAAUUAUUGGGCGUAAAGGGCUCGUAGGCGGUUUGUCACGUCGGGAGUGAAAACUCAGGGCUUAACCCUGAGCCUGCUUCCGAUACGGGCAGACUAGAGGUAUGCAGGGGAGAACGGAAUUCCUGGUGUAGCGGUGAAAUGCGCAGAUAUCAGGAGGAACACCGAUGGCGAAGGCAGGUCUCUGGGCCACUACUGACGCUGAGAAGCGAAAGCAUGGGGAGCGAACAGG
rnacentral:rRNA from 1 species